CUUAUUUCUAAAUAUUCAAUAUUUCAGAAUAUGAAAAAAAGUUGUGUGAUCUUCAAGCCAUGAGUACACCACCACUAUGCACCUUGCAGCAGGAAACACAGGCACAUGUUUAUUGUGGAUUUUCGAAGACAAGCAUUCAGUAAGAGUUUGUUAUUGUAUGAAGCAGAUAAACAAUCGGAUGUCCAUUCAGAUUUGUUGGAAGCUUGGAUAACUGAAGCUGUAAAGAUGGUUGAGUAAAGAAAUGCAUUGUGGGAAAUCAGGACUGAUUAGUUUGAACCCUGGUAACUGAAUCUUAGCAACAUGAGACUGAGAUAAAGCGUGGAAGUCAAAUUUUAACAUAAAGAAAUGAAGUAAUGAACUUUGAGAAACUGACUAAUUUGUUUGAAUUAUGUAGUGUACAGUAUACUGGUACUUGAAGCUUAGUGAGCUCUGAUGUAUGGACAUGAAGCAGAUAAAUUGUGGAAAGUCUAAACCACAACAGGCAUUUGUUGUGCAUUCAUAAAUGAAUGAUUAUGAAUUGAAGUACUGUUUGCCAAGUGAAGUUUGUGAUUUAGUAAGUAAAAUAAGUGUUGACCUUUAAAAAUGCUGAAAUUUUUGACUGAUUCUGGACCUAGUUAAAAAUAGAAUGUUGGCCCG